rnacentral:rRNA from 1 species
CCUACGGGGGGCUGCAGUAAGGAAUAUUGGUCAAUGGAGGAAACUCUGAACCAGCCAUCCCGCGUGAAGGAUGAAGGGGCUCUGCCUUGUAAACUUCUUUUGUCUGGGGCGAAAAAGCUCGAUUUAUCGAGAACUGACGGUACCAGAAGAAUAAGCACCGGCUAACUCCGUGCCAGCAGCCGCGGUAAUACGGCGGGUGCAAGCGUUAUCCGGAAUCACUGGGGCGAAGGGGUCCUUGUAAGUCAGUGGUGAAAGGCUGUGGCUUAACCAUGGAAUUGCCAUUGAUACUGCAGAGCUUGAAUGAGGUUGAGGGUGGCGGAAUGUGAAAUGUAGCGGUGAAAUGCUUAGAUAUGUCAUGGAACACCGAUUGCGAAGGCAGCUGACUGGACCUAGAUUGACGCUGAGGCACGAAAGCGUGGGGAGCGAACAGGAUUAGAUACCCUGGUAGUC